UAGGGUUCGAUCAUGGCUCAGAUUGAACGCUGGCGGUAUGCUUAACACAUGCAAGUCGAACGGAAACGGAACUAGCUUGCUAGUAGACGUCGAGUGGCGGACGGGUGAGUAACGCGUAGGAAUCUGCCUGAUAGUGGGGGAUAGCCCGGAGAAAUUCGGAUUAAUACCGCAUAAUCUAUUCGUAGUAAAGUGGGGGACUUUCGAGCCUCACGCUAUCAGAUGAGCCUGCGUAAGAUUAGCUUGUUGGUAGGGUAAAAGCCUACCAAGGCUACGAUCUUUAGCUGGUCUGAGAGGAUGAUCAGCCACAUCGGGACUGAGACACGGCCCGAACUCCUACGGGAGGCAGCAGUGGGGAAUAUUGGACAAUGGGGGCAACCCUGAUCCAGCAAUACCGCGUGUGUGAAGAAGGCCUGAGGGUUGUAAAGCACUUUCAAUUGUGAAGAAAAGUUAACGGUUAAUAACCGUUGACCUUGACGUUAACUUUAGAAGAAGCACCGGCUAACUCCGUGCCAGCAGCCGCGGUAAUUCA
rnacentral:rRNA from 1 species